UGACAGAAGGGGAAACAAUUUACCACCACCAACUUUCUCAGUUGUAAAUUAUCAAAUGUAGGAAUGUAAUUGUUAGCCAAUUUCUAGAUUGUAAUUUUUAUCUUACUCGCAAUUCUUAGUCUCCACAAUUUGUUGUAAAAAGUCUGUAACAUUUCCUAAUGUACCCCCUCCCCAGUAGGUAUUACCACAUCCCCAUUUAGUAGCCACUUAUACCCACUCCUUGCUGAAUAUACUCUUGUAUUAUCACCUCUCCAAACUCUCUCAUCCCCUAG
rnacentral:lncRNA from 1 species